AUGAACACAAUUCCACCGAGGACGAGCAGCCCACCAGGGAAUGAUGAAAGUAAUGCUCCAAGAGUUGGGAUGUGCUUUGAAUCAGAGUAAGCGGCAUACAGGUUCUACAAUUCUUAUGCUCAAACCAAAGGAUUCAGCAUUAGGAAGUGCCACCUUAAGUGUAGAGCAGAUAACAGUUCAAGUUCCAGAUAUUUUGUGUCUAGCAAGGCAGGUGUGAAGGCCACUAAUCCAACACAUGUAGCCAGGAAACAACGAGCAAUUUCGAGUACUGCUUGCAUGGCUCGUGUUCAAUUCAGCAUCACUCGGGAGGGUAUUUGGAGUGUUCAGAAGGUAAUGCUCGAUCACAAUCAUCAGCUUGUAAGUCCAGAUAAGAGGUACAUGCUUAGGUCGCAACGUCAACUGUUAGAUGCCGACCGCCACAAGCAAAUGAGGACAUCGGGAACUAAACAAGCUGAAAUAUAUGAUUUCUGUGAGCUUUGGUAUGGUAAAGAUGCAGUGCUCUUCUUGCAAAUGGACUGCAACAAUUAUUUACGAAGUGAGCGCUCGAAGUAUAUGGAAACCAAGGGUGCACAAACAUUAAUGGAGUAUCUAAAUAACAAGCAAGCUGAGGACCCUUCGUUUUUCUAUGCCAUGCAAAUAGCUGAUGAUGAUGGUACAAUAAUGAAUAUCUUUUGGACUGAUGGACAAACUAUCAUGGAUUAUUCUAUCUUUGGAGAUGCUCUUUCCUUUGACAACACAUUUUCAACAAAUAAGUUUCAAAUGCCAUUUGCUCCGUUUAUUGGUGUUAAUCAUCACAAGCAAACUAUUCUUUUUGGUGCAGCACUGCUUUAUACUGAAACUACGGAUACCUUUUAGUGGAUUUUUAGAACCUUCCAACAAGCUAUGUCUGGUAAGCAACCUAAAACAAUAUUCACUGAUCAAUGUGCUGCCAUUAUAAAUGUUGUUGGAAGGGUUUUCCCAGAAACACGACAUCGCCUUUGUUUAUGGUAUUUGUAUCAAAAUGCCGCUAAACACCUAAGCCAAGUAAUUAGCGACCAUCCUAAGUUUCUUACUGAAUUCAAAAGAUGUGUGUAUGAAGAUAGAUCAGUGGCACUCCUCUUAUCUGGACCACUAUUGUACAAAAAAAAACUAUCAUGA
rnacentral:rRNA from 1 species